CUUCCCUUCACCGCCAAGAUUUUGAAGACAUCCAAGUUCCCUUUAUUUUUUUCUUUUUUCCUUCUUCAAUUUGCAGAGAACUUCUAAGAGAGAGUUUGGAAGAAGAAGAGAAAUUUUACAAGAAUUUUUAGGUUGAAGAAGAGGAGGAGAACUCAAGCAAAGUGUAUUAAUGGCUGAAUUUUAGUUCAUUCUGCACAUCACUGGUUUUAAAUUUGGUUUGAACUCUUCAAAAGGAAUUAAGAGGUGAGAUUUACAUUUACUGAAAGUUAACUCAUUUUUAAACAAACUUUAUGAAGAACGUUGGAGCAAAUUCGGAUAUUCAUUUGGUGCUUUUUGAUGAAGAAAACAAGGCAGUUGGUUUUCACUCGAAAUCAGGAGGUCUCUGGUUUUUCUUGUAUUUCAGAGUGUAUUGGUGGAGUUAGAAUCUCUAUUUGGAACAAGUUAAAGAGGUCGUGUGCGCGCGAUUCUGGAAGUGGUUCUGUUUUGAGGGUUAUAUGUGUUUAUGCACGGGGAAUCAGAUUUAUAUUUCUUCAGGCCGAGAAGAAUUAAACCGAGCUUAUAGACCAAGGAUCUAGCCCAAGACUGUAGAGAUCGACUUCCCGGUGCCUGAUAGACUGCCUUCGUCUGCGGAAGCUUCAUUAUCGAUUGCCAGUACGUGUUUUGAGUUGGGCAUAAAGUCUGUUGUGUUGUGAUGUAUUCACACCCUUGUAUGUUAUAGAUACUCCACAGUUUGUAUAAGCUUUAGGAGCUGUAGUUGUGUAAAUUUUGUUGGUUAUAUUUUGAUUAAGGUGUCUUUAGGUUUACUCGUGAAAUCGGUAAAUUUUGAGGUACACUUCAUGUAUGUGUUUGACUAGCUGUGUUUGACUAGCCUAAGAUCCGCUGUGUUUUGUGGCAUGUACAAUAGUUUAUAUACUAGAUUGGCAAGUUCAUCACAUGAAAGUUUUAAGCAGAGUCGACAGAUACAGGUACAUAAAAGCGUUGUUCGUCGGCUUCACGCCAUCUUUCGGUCUAAGGUAGCAGGUAAUCCGGGAGGGGGUGUGACAUACAAAUCAUAGUUUCACAUGGUUUGUAUCACCUUGAAAUAUUUAUGCACAAUUCAUUGUGAUUAGUUAAUUAAGCACUCCUUC